UACGGGGGGAGCAAACGUUGUUCGGAAUCACUGGGCGUAAAGGGCGUGUAGGCGGCUGGAUAAGUGGGAUGUUAAAUCCCCCGGCUCAACCGGGGACCUGCAUCUCAUACUGUUCAGCUCGAGCACAUCAGAGGAGACUGGAAUUCCAGGUGUAGCGGUGAAAUGCGUAGAUAUCUGGAGGAAUACCGGUGGCGAAGGCGGCAUCCUGGACCGGCAUUGACGCUGAGGAGCGAAAGCCAGGGGAGCAAACGGG
rnacentral:rRNA from 1 species